CUCGUAGGCGGUUCGUCGCGUCCGGUGUGAAAGUCCAUCGCUUAACGGUGGAUCCGCGCCGGGUACGGGCGGGCUUGAGUGCGGUGGGGGAGACUGGAAUUCCCGGUGUAACGGUGGAAUGUGUAGAUAUCGGGAAGAACACCAAUGGCGAAGGCAGGUCUCUGGGCCGUUACUGACGCUGAGGAGCGAAAGCGUGGGGAGCGAACA
rnacentral:rRNA from 1 species